rnacentral:rRNA from 1 species
AUGCAAAGCAACCUUUCAUUCCCUUGUUUCGUCGUGGCACACCCUCCCCCCACAAGCACCCCCAGGCGAAGGGGAGACCAGAAAACGCCUUUCAUUUUCCCCCCUUCAGCGGCCCUAGCCGCCUUCCUUAACAAGCCCUCGACCCUCCUUUGCGCCACCUUCCUCAUAGAAGCCGCUGGGUUGACCCCGAAGGCCGAAUUCAAUGGUAGAGAAGGCUUUCAUAAGAAUUUGGCCAUAAGGGACCUUCUUAAGUAUUGCAAAAUAAGGGGCCUACUGAUAAAGCUGGGCGAGGAGGCGAUACUAGUUAUCAGGUCAGAGAGAGGCCUGGCCCGUAAGCUGGCCCCCUUUAAAAGCCAUUCCUUAUUAAUAAGGAUUUGUUACAUGCGAUAUGCCGACGACUUACUACUAGGAAUCAUGGGUGCCAUAUUUCUUCUCAUAGAAAUACAAAAACGUAUCACCUACUUCCUACAAUCCGGUCUGAACCUUUGGGUAGGCUCCACAGGAUCAACAACCAUAGCUGCAUAGAGUACGGUAGAAUUCCCCGGUACGGUCAUUCGGGAAGUCCCCCCGAGGACGACUCCCAUACAAUUCUUGUGAGAGCUGGAGAAGCGUCUAUGGGUAAAGCACCGUAUCCAUAUAACUGCCUGCCACCUAUGCUUCGCCAUCCAUUCCAAGUUUAGGGACCUAGGUUAUAGUAUCCCUAUCAAAGAGCUGACGAAGGGGAUGAGCGGAAGAGGUCGUCUACUGGACGCGGUUCAACUAGUGGAGACUCUUGGAAAAGAUGGACUAAAAAGUCCCCAAGUUAGCGUAUUAUGGGGGACCGUCAAGCACAUCCGACAAAGAUCGAGGGGGAUCUCGUUGUUGCAUAGCUCAGGUCAGAGCAAGGUGCCAUCAGGCGUUCAACAGGCAGUCUCACGAUCGGGCAUGAGUGUCCUGAAGAAGAAAUUGUAUACUCCCUUUGGUCAGAAGGCGGCGGGGGAAGGAAGGGGACACUGGGCGAGAUCUUUCAGCAGCGAAUUCCCCAUACAGAUAGAGGCGCCUAUCAAAAAGAUACUCCAAAGGCUUCGGGAUCAAGGUCUCAUUAGCCGAAGAAGACCCAGGCCAAUCCACGUGGCCUCUUUGACCAACAUCAGCGACAGAGACAUAGUAAAUUGGUCCAUGGGCAUCACGAUAAGUCCUCUGUCCUACUAUAGGUGCUGCGACAACCUUUACCAAGUCCAAAUGAUUGUCAACUACCAGAUCCGCUGGUCCGCUAUAUUCACCCUAGCCCACAAGCACAAAACUUCGGCGCGGGAAUAUAAUCCUAAAGUACCCCAAAGACCCAAAUAUAGUCAAUCAAGAAGGUGA